rnacentral:rRNA from 1 species
GGCUUAGAGUUUGAUCAUGGCUCAGGAUGAACGCUGGCGGCGUGCCUAACACAUGCAAGUCGAGCGAAGCACUUUACUCUGAAUCUUUCGGGAGGACGAGUGAUUUGACUGAGCGGCGGACGGGUGAGUAACGCGUGGGUAACCUGCCUCACACGGGGGGAUAACAGUUAGAAAUGACUGCUAAUACCGCAUAAGGCCACAGCACCGCAUGGUGCAGGGGUAAAAACUCCGGUGGUGUGAGAUGGGCCCGCGUCUGAUUAGUUAGUUGGCGGGGUAACGGCCCACCAAGGCGACGAUCAGUAGCCGACCUGAGAGGGUGACCGGCCACAUUGGGACUGAGACACGGCCCAAACUCCUACGGGAGGCAGCAGUGGGGAAUAUUGCACAAUGGGGGAAACCCUGAUGCAGCGACGCCGCGUGAGCGAAGAAGUAUUUCGGUAUGUAAAGCUCUAUCAGCAGGGAAGAAAUUGACGGUACCUGACUAAGAAGCACCGGCUAAAUACGUGCCAGCAGCCGCGGUAAUACGUAUGGUGCAAGCGUUAUCCGGAUUUACUGGGUGUAAAGGGAGCGUAGACGGAGCAGCAAGUCUGGAGUGAAAACCCGGGGCUCAACCCCGGGACUGCUUUGGAAACUGUUGUUCUAGAGUGCUGGAGAGGUAAGUG